rnacentral:rRNA from 1 species
UACAGAGGUCCCAAGCGUUGUUCGGAAUCACUGGGCGUAAAGGGCGCGUAGGCGGACUCUUAAGUCGGAGGUGAAAGCCCAGGGCUCAACCCUGGAAUUGCCUUCGAUACUGGGAGUCUUGAGUUCGGAAGAGGUUGGUGGAACUGCGAGUGUAGAGGUGAAAUUCGUAGAUAUUCGCAAGAACACCAGUGGCGAAGGCGGCCAACUGGUCCGAUACUGACGCUGAGGCGCGAAAGCGUGGGGAGCAAACAGG